rnacentral:rRNA from 1 species
GGUGGGGAUUAGUGGCGAACGGGUGAGUAACACGUGGGCAAUCUGCCCUUCACUCUGGGACAAGCCCUGGAAACGGGGUCUAAUACCGGAUACUGACCUGCCAAGGCAUCUUGGCGGGUCGAAAGCUCCGGCGGUGAAGGAUGAGCCCGCGGCCUAUCAGCUUGUUGGUGAGGUAAUGGCUCACCAAGGCGACGACGGGUAGCCGGCCUGAGAGGGCGACCGGCCACACUGGGACUGAGACACGGCCCAGACUCCUACGGGAGGCAGCAGUGGGGAAUAUUGCACAAUGGGCGAAAGCCUGAUGCAGCGACGCCGCGUGAGGGAUGACGGCCUUCGGGUUGUAAACCUCUUUCAGCAGGGAAGAAGCGAAAGUGACGGUACCUGCAGAAGAAGCGCCGGCUAACUACGUGCCAGCAGCCGCGGUAAUACGUAGGGCGCAAGCGUUGUCCGGAAUUAUUGGGCGUAAAGAGCUCGUAGGCGGCUUGUCACGUCGGUUGUGAAAGCCCGGGGCUUAACCCCGGGUCUGCAGUCGAUACGGGCAGGCUAGAGUUCGGUAGGGGAGAUCGGAAUUCCUGGUGUAGCGGUGAAAUGCGCAGAUAUCAGGAGGAAC